rnacentral:rRNA from 1 species
UACGUAGGGUGCAAGCGUUGUCCGGAAUUAUUGGGCGUAAAGAGCUCGUAGGCGGUCUGUCGCGUCGGCUGUGAAAACCCGGGGCUCAACCCCGGGCCUGCAGUCGAUACGGGCAGACUAGAGUGCGGUAGGGGAGACUGGAAUUCCUGGUGUAGCGGUGAAAUGCGCAGAUAUCAGGAGGAACACCGGUGGCGAAGGCGGUUCUCUGGGCAUUACCUGACGCUGAGGUGCGAAGGUAUGGGGAGCAAAUAGG